UACAGAGGGGGCAAGCGUUGUUCGGAAUUACUGGGCGUAAAGGGCGCGUAGGCGGCCCGCUAAGUCGAACGUGAAAUCCCCCGGCUUAACCCGGGAACUGCGUCUGAUACUGGAUGGCUUGAAUUCGGGAGAGGGAUGCAGAAUUCCAGGUGUAGCGGUGAAAUGCGUAGAUAUCUGGAGGAAUACCGGUGGCGAAGGCGGCAUCCUGGACCGACAUUGACGCUGAGGAGCGAAAGCUAGGGGAGCAAACGGG
rnacentral:rRNA from 1 species